GCGGUCGUUGCCUAGUGAUUAAGGCGACGGACUAUAAAUCUAUUGGGGUCUCCCCGCACAGGUUCGAAUCUUGUCGACUACG
rfam:Ixodes scapularis strain Wikel colony gcontig_1107728660300, whole genome shotgun sequence.